UUCAAGGGCUGCAGAAGGGCUGCUUGCCUGCAAGGCUUAGAGAGUUACUUCUGGGAUGGGUUUCUAGGGAGAAGUGGGGCACAGCUCCUGUUGGCAGGGGGCUUAGGGCAGUGGGUGGGGAUGGGACCCAGGCUACAGCCCUAGGAUCACCACCCUAGGUUUACCAGUUUGUUUAGGGCUGGAACAGGGAGGGAGGGGCAGAGAAACUUGUGCUCUCUCCCUCCCCUGUCUUCACCCUAGACAACUUCCAGCUAUGCUGUGGAAAUCAUAUGCAAAUUAACUCAUUAGCUUGCCAGGCCAGUGCCUCAGACAUCUUCCUAAUGGAGGGAGCUGUAGACCAUACUUUCACAGCUCCCUCAAACCCUCCUGAACAACUUACCUCAGAGAGAAACAGGCAGAGCGGAGGGGCUGUCCCUGAAAUAGGAGUUAAGCAUCCUGUGCUUAAAUUUACCUAUCUCUACUCAUCACCCCCGGUUCAACUCCGUGUCCUGGACUUCCCCUCUGCCCAUCCUGGGGCCUCCCAGAGGAGUUUCUCUCUCCUGUUCAUUUGAGUGAGAAGCUGUCUUCAGCACUAUGCCUGGAGGUACCUCGAAUGCCCUCCUCAGAAGAGAGGGAUGGGCAUGGCUUGUGGCCCAUUCAAGGAUGUGAAGUAGAGUGGCAGCAAUCGAUUGAUCGGUCGAUCGGCCCUGUGGCCUGUGCCUCCUUCAAGCCGUACUCUGGCCUCCUGAGUUUGCUGUUCACUAUUCAAUUGAGCCAAAGUAGACCCAGCAGCCUUUGAAGCCACUGUGGACAGAGAAGCAUAGACCGCGGGCUGCGCUUUACAGUCAACAACUCGUUUACUGAGGAGAACACAAAACUCUUAUCAAGCCUGUUUUGCCCAGGGCCUCUUAAACAAAAAGUAAGAGUUGGAACUUGAACCCUGAUCCCUGUGGUUUCAAAGCCAAGCGCAUUUACAU